GAUUCUGAAAACCAAAGUCUCAUUGUUAUUCUGACAGCCUCUUUUCACUUUCAGGGUUUUUGUUGAGAUGAGGCUUGAAUGUAGUGUAGGGAGGAUUUCAAUUGUGCAACUGUCUUUGGCUUUAUACAAAUAUUUAACCAACAGGAAACUUCUUGAGGACAAAUAAAAAAGCAAAGAGAAAAAGGUGCUGUUAGACCUUCAAUAACAGGCAGGCAGCCAGCCAUGUGUGUCCUCUCUUCUUCUUUAUCACCAAGAAUGACUGGGAGCUAGAGCAGCAAUGUUGAUGGGCAUUGAUCUGUUUCAGAAACAUCUCAAGGACUGAGAAAUGACUUCGGGCAUUCCCUUUUCAAAAGAUGCUAUCUCAUUUCCUUACUAAAGAGAUGAGAAAAAGGGUGGAAAUUGAGAGAUGCAAGGUAAGAGCUCAAAUAAUGUGAAUUAAGUCUGAAGGAGAUUUUUUUUCCCCUCCUAUGAGGUAUUUACUAGCUGAUAAUCCUGCAGUGAAAGAAUAUCCAACCAGUGAGAGUUAGGAAAAAAUAUGGAUUGUUGAUUUGGAAGGAGACUAAUAAACUAUCCCUGCCAUAAUUUUUUUUCAUUUUACACCCCCUUAAAAUAACUAAGAAAAAUAUUACUUUUAUAAAACACUGCAGUGAACACAGCCCUGGAAUUCUGGUAUUAUAACAACUUUCAGGUGGAGGCAUAAAGUGAUAUUCCAAAAUGUUAAAAAUCAUCAAUACGAGUAAAAAUCUGACUUUGAAUAUUGGACUGCAGUGUUAUUACUUCCUCUUGGUGGUGUGUUUCCAAUUUUAGGGACUGUGGGGGAAAGACAAGCUGCGUACAUACAUGCAUUCUCCCAAUAUCAGCCCCAUUUAUUUGGAUGGAUCUAAUGAUAUUACUUUCAAACUU
rnacentral:lncRNA from 1 species